CACCAUUUAAACAGGAAACAAAGAGGAAGACCUGUAAGUGACAUAUCUUUACAUCUCUGAGAGAGAGCAGCUUUUAGUUUUUUUUAUUAGUUCAAAAGAAAAUAUCAGGAAUGCUGGUCAAACCAGCUGCCUUUUGAGGAAACAAAGAACCAGAGUGCAGGAACAAUAGGAUGGCAGUAAAGAAGGAAAAGUCAGAGGGUUAGAUAUUUGUCUCCCAACAUGAAUUGCGUGAAGUUUCUCAAAACUUACAUUAUAACAUCCAGCCCCAUCUUCUACAUGAAACCUGUCCCAACCUAACCAAUCCACAUUCAUCUCUGAAUUCUUGUGGGACUUAUGGACUACGCUGCAUCACUCAGCCUUGGAGAACUUUUCCUUCCACAUCAAAUAGUAAAGUUCAGUAAAGACAACUGUAACAUUUUCUAUUUCCAAGUUACACUUCAUACCAUAUGCUAUGAGCAUACCGUGGCAGCAACACUCUGUUUCUAAAGACAGUAGGACAAAGUCUACGCAAUGGAGCUGCAGAGAUGAAGAAGGUACACCCACCCUACCAAAGCCUUCAAAGAAGAAAAACUACUACUGAUUGAAAUGGAUGAGAGACACGGUCAAAAGGUAUGUUCUAUGUCACCUCAAAUACAUUACUCAACAAAUUCGGAGUUGAAAUCACUGCCAGGACUCAAAUCCAACUAUAAUCAGUGGCUACAUCUGGAAAGGCUGCAUGGAGAUGUCCUUUAAGAUGAAGAUACCUGGAUUCUACCUCCAACUUUUUUCGGAAUCUGUAGUUUCAGAGUGUCUACAUUUCCACAGCUCUCCCAGAGAACUCCAUUUGGAACAUGACUCGGUGGCAAAAGAGUUAGGAAGGAGAGGCUCUGUCUUUCACUGGCAGGAUUAAAUGAGACAACAAUGUACAAACAAGGUGCAUAAUAAAUGUUGACUGAAUGAAUGAACGAGC
ensembl:lncRNA